rnacentral:rRNA from 1 species
GAUGAACGCUGGCGGCGUGCCUAAUACAUGCAAGUCUAUCGUACGUACUAGACGCUUGCUUCUCUGUUGUUAGCUGCGGACGGGUGAUUAACACGUGGCUAACCUACCUAUACGACUGGGAUAACUUCGAGCAACCGGCGCUUUUACCUGAUCAUAUUUUGAUCCGCUUGGUUCAAAAGUGAUAGCCGGUCUUGCUGUCCCUUAUCGAUGGAUCCCCGCUGCAUUAUCUAGUUGGUAAGGUAACGGCUUACCAAGGCAACGAUGCAUAGCCGACCUGAGAGGGUGACAGGCCACACGGGAAGGGGGAAAAGGUCCAGACUCCUACGGGAGGCAACGGUAGGGAAUCGUCAGCAAAGCGCGAAGGCCUGAAGGAGCAACGGGGAGUAAGGGAUGAAGGGGUUCGGAUCGUAAAACUCUGUUAGUAGGGAAGAACAUAUGUGUAAGUAAAUGUGCACAUCUUGACGGUACCUAAGCAGAAAGCCACGGAUAACUUCGUG